rnacentral:rRNA from 1 species
AGAGUUUGAUCCUGGCUCNNAUUGAACGCUGGCGGCAUGCUUUACACAUGCAAGUCGAACGGUAACAGGCCGCAAGGUGCUGACGAGUGGCGAACGGGUGAGUAAUGCAUCGGAACGUGCCCAGUCGUGGGGGAUAACGCAGCGAAAGCUGCGCUAAUACCGCAUACGAUCUAUGGAUGAAAGCGGGGGACCGUAAGGCCUCGCGCGAUUGGAGCGGCCGAUGUCAGAUUAGGUAGUUGGUGGGGUAAAGGCUCACCAAGCCAACGAUCUGUAGCUGGUCUGAGAGGACGACCAGCCACACUGGAACUGAGACACGGUCCAGACUCCUACGGGAGGCAGCAGUGGGGAAUUUUGGACAAUGGGCGCAAGCCUGAUCCAGCAAUGCCGCGUGCAGGAAGAAGGCCUUCGGGUUGUAAACUGCUUUUGUACGGAACGAAACGGCGAGCUCUAAUACAGUUUGCUAAUGACGGUACCGUAAGAAUAAGCACCGGCUAACUACGUGCCAGCAGCCGCGGUAAUAC